GCGGGAAUAGCUAAGUUGGUAGAGCAUGACCUUGCCAAGGUCGGGGUCGCGAGUUCGAGUCUCGUUUCCCGCUCCA
rnacentral:tRNA from 1 species